rnacentral:rRNA from 1 species
AGGGAAUCUUCCACAAUGGACGCAAGUCUGAUGGAGCAACGCCGCGUGAGUGAAGAAGGUUUUCGGACCGUAAAGCUCUGUUGUUGGUGAAGAAGGAUAGAGGUAGUAACUGGCCUUUAUUUGACGGUAAUCAACCAGAAAGUCACGGCUAACUACGUGCCAGCAGCCGCGGUAAUACGUAGGUGGCAAGCGUUGUCCGGAUUUAUUGGGCGUAAAGCGAGCGCAGGCGGAAGAAUAAGUCUGAUGUGAAAGCCCUCGGCUUAACCGAGGAAUUGCAUCGGAAACUGUUUUCUUGAGUGCAGAAGAGGAGAGUAGAACUCCAUGUGUAGCGGUGGAAUGCGUAGAUAUAUGGAAGAAUACCAGUGGCGAAGGCGGCUCUCUGGUCUGCAACUGACGCUGAGGCUCGAAAGCAUGGGUAGCGAACAGGAUUAGAUACCCUGGUAGUCCAUGCCGUAAACGAUGAGUGCUAAGUGUUGGGAGGCUUCCGCCUCUCAGUGCUGCAGCUAACGCAUUAAGCACUCCGCCUGGGGGAGUACGACCGCAAAG